GACUGCAACAACCCCGUGGGUGGGGCGCAGCCUGAAGGCAUUGGCCUAUCAGCCAAUCACCUCAGAUUGCACAGUGCAUCCACUGCAGUC
rnacentral:sRNA from 1 species